GCUACCGUGACAGAGUGGUAACGCUCGUGACUUUGCUUCGUGAGAUCGAGGGUUCGAGUCCCGCUAACGGUCAGAG